rnacentral:sRNA from 1 species
UACCUUUACAAGGCAGUUUGCCGUAAGGA